UCAGGAUGAACGCUGGCGGCGUGCCUAACACAUGCAAGUCGAGCGAUUACUUCGGUAAAGAGCGGCGGACGGGUGAGUAACGCGUGGGUAACCUGCCUCAUACACAUGGAUAACAUACCGAAAGGUAUGCUAAUACAGGAUAAUAUAAGAGAUUCACAUGGAUUUCUUAUCAAAGCUCCGGCGGUAUGAGAUGGACCCGCGUCUGAUUAGCUAGUUGGUAAGGUAAUGGCUUACCAAGGCGACGAUCAGUAGCCGACCUGAGAGGGUGAUCGGCCACAUUGGAACUGAGACACGGUCCAAACUCCUACGGGAGGCAGCAGUGGGGAAUAUUGCACAAUGGGCGAAAGCCUGAUGCCAGCAACGCCGCGUGAGUGAUGAAGGCCUUCGGGUCGUAAAACUCUGUCCUCAAGGAAGAUAAUGACGGUACUUGAGGAGGAAGCCCCGGCUAACUACGUGCCAGCAGCCGC
rnacentral:rRNA from 1 species